GACGAACGCUGGCGGCGUGCUUAACACAUGCAAGUCGAACGGAAAGGCCCUGCUUUUGUGGGGUGCUCGAGUGGCGAACGGGUGAGUAACACGUGAGUAACCUGCCCUUGACUUUGGGAUAACUUCAGGAAACUGGGGCUAAUACCGGAUAGGAGCUCCUGCUGCAUGGUGGGGGCUGGAAAGUUUCGGCGGUUGGGGAUGGACUCGCGGCUUAUCAGCUUGUUGGUGGGGUAGUGGCUUACCAAGGCUUUGACGGGUAGCCGGCCUGAGAGGGUGACCGGCCACAUUGGGACUGAGAUACGGCCCAGACUCCUACGGGAGGCGGCAGUGGGGAAUAUUGCACAAUGGGCGGAAGCCUGAUGCAGCAACGCCGCGUGCGGGAUGACGGCCUUCGGGUUGUAAACCGCUUUCGCCUGUGACGAAGCGUGAGUGACGGUAAUGGGAAAAGAAGCACCGGCUAACUACGUG
rnacentral:rRNA from 1 species